AAUCGUGUUGUGUUAUACCUUGAAUACCUUAAAAUAUACCAAAGCUUUUGGAAGAACCCGUCUCCAGCUGCCAAGUUUUUGUUUUUCUGAUGAACAGAUUCAAGGUCGUGAAACAAAAGACUCCAAACCAGACCACCAUUGACAGAUUACCUGUUGGGAGUCUCGUGACCACCACUUUCAUCCCAUCUUACUUCACCUCAGUACCAUCCUCCGUGGUAAUCACCACAUUCUCCACACUUUUGACUGUCUUCAUCAUUCACAUUCAAGGUCGUGAAACGGAAGACUCCAAACCAGACCACCAUUGACAGAUUACCUGUUGGGAGUCUCGUGACCACCACUUUCAUCCCAUCUUACUUCACCUCAGUACCAUCCUCCGUGGUAAUCACCACAUUCUCCACACUUUUGACUGUCUCCAUCAUUCACAUACUGUACAUAUCAACAGUUGAUUGACGGUUGGAAGUUCCCAUCACACUUGUCAUCAAACCAGACAGCUUUCAACCAGAAUCUUCCAGGUGUAAAAAAAAAAAAGUCCUGGAUUUUCAACGGUAUAUGUUUUGCGUUCUUUGUAUAAAAGACUUCUAUACACUCCUUCCAUUUUCAGACGUCUUGUUGGACUGAAAUAUUUUUCACCUCCACUCAUUUCACCACCCCUCUAAGAAGACAUUUCCCAUAAGCAAAAAAAUCAUUACAUGUUCAUUUUUCAUAAGAAUUUAUCACAGCUGUGAGCUCAUUUCAUCCAUUUCACCUCAUUUUUUCAUGAACGAUUCAUCCCAAUAACGCUUGAAAUAA
rnacentral:lncRNA from 1 species